GAUGAACGCUAGCUACAGGCUUAACACAUGCAAGUCGAGGGGAAACGAUAGAGAAAGCUUGCUUUUUCUAGGCGUCGACCGGCGCACGGGUGAGUAACGCGUAUCCAACCUGCCCAUCACUUGGGGAUAACCUUGCGAAAGUAAGACUAAUACCCAAUGACGUCUCUAGAAGACAUCUGAAAGAGAUUAAAGAUUUAUCGGUGAUGGAUGGGGAUGCGUCUGAUUAGCUUGUUGGCGGGGUAACGGCCCACCAAGGCGACGAUCAGUAGGGGUUCUGAGAGGAAGGUCCCGCACAUUGGAACUGAGACACGGUCCAAACUCCUACGGGAGGCAGCAGUGAGGAAUAUUGGUCAAUGGGCGAGAGCCUGAACCAGCCAAGUAGCGUGCAGGAUGACGGCCCUAUGGGUUGUAAACUGCUUUUAUAAGGGAAUAAAGUGAGUCUCGUGAGACUUUUUGCAUGUACCUUAUGAAUAAGGACCGGCUAAUUCCGUGCCAGCAGCCGCUGUAA
rnacentral:rRNA from 1 species